ACACGGAGGGUGCGAGCGUUACCCGGAUUUACUGGGCGUAAAGGGCGUGUAGGCGGCCCGUUAAGUCCGGUGUCAAAGCCCACGGCUCAACCUGGAAAGGCGCCGGAUACUGGCGGGCUAGACGGACGGAGGGGGUAGCGGAAUUCCCGGAGUAGCGGUGAAAUGCGUAGAUACCGGGAGGAACGCCGAUAGCGAAGGCAGCUACCUGGACGUCCGGUGACGCUGAGGCGCGAAAGCGUGGGGAGCAAACCGGAUUAGAAACCCCUGUAGUCC
rnacentral:rRNA from 1 species